rnacentral:tRNA from 1 species
GGCUGUAGCUCAGUGGUAGAGCAUAUGUCUAGCAUGGGUGAGGUACUGGGUUCCAUCCUCAGCACCA